rnacentral:snoRNA from 1 species
AUCUUGUGGUGAGGACAGGCCAGAAUGUACUCCUGGAGCCUUUCCCAUGCUUUAGGGAUUAACUUGAUGCUGCUUGUUAGAAGCUUGAGAUCUUUCCACGAAGGGU